rnacentral:sRNA from 1 species
AUUGGAUAUCCGUUGGGAUAAGUGUUUAACAUUUUGAAAUUCAUGUUCAUACACAAAAUGGUUUAGUAACAUCGAUACGCAUCAAGCCAAUGAAUAAUUAAUAGUUUUCCCCAUUAUUAUUGGUUUUGGGUCAGAAACCAAAUAGUUUUCAUCUAAAAGCUUUGAAUGUGAAAAGUGCUCCACCACAGCACGCAGAGAUGAACCCUCAAAGGAGGAUAAGAAUACAUGUUGGAUAUGAAUGAUAACUAAGCCAUCCUAGAAGGAUUUAUAUACCGCUCGUUUUGAAGACUAUCAUAUUAUAUAGUCAGCUAUUCCAACAUAAGGGGGAGAAUGUAUACAGCUGGUGAAAAAGAUAAAUA